AUUGAACGCUGGCGGCAGGCCUAACACAUGCAAGUCGAGCGGAUGAGGGUAGCUUGCUAUCUGAUUCAGCGGCGGACGGGUGAGUAAUGCCUAGGAAUCUGCCUGGUAGUGGGGGACAACGUUUCGAAAGGAACGCUAAUACCGCAUACGUCCUACGGGAGAAAGGGGGGGAUCUUCGGACCUCACGCUAUCAGAUGAGCCUAGGUACGAUUAGCUAGUUGGUGAGGUAAAGGCUCACCAAGGCGACGAUCGUUAACUGGUCUGAGAGGAUGAUCAGUCACACUGGAACUGAGACACGGUCCAGACUCCUACGGGAGGCAGCAGUGGGGAAUAUUGGACAAUGGGGGGAACCCUGAUCCAGCCAUGCCGCGUGUGUGAAGAAGGCCUUAUGGUUGUAAAGCACUUUAAGCGAGGAGGAGGCUCUUUUGGUUAAUACCCAAGAUGAGUGGACGUUACUCGCAGAAUAAGCACCGGCUAACUCUGUGCCAGCCGCCGCCGUAAGAC
rnacentral:rRNA from 1 species